UACGUAGGGACCAAGCGUUGUCCGGAAUCAUUGGGCGUAAAGAGCGUGUAGGCGGCUUGUUAAGUCUUGCGUGAAAUCUCGGGGCUCAACCCCGAGCGGUCGUGAGAAACUGGCAGGCUAGAGUGCGGGAGAGGAGAGUGGAAUUCCACGUGUAGCAGUGAAAUGCGUAGAGAUGUGGAGGAACACCGAUGGCGAAGGCAGCCCCCUGGGCUAACACUGACGCUCAUGCACGAAAGCGUGGGGAGCAAACAGG
rnacentral:rRNA from 1 species